GAUGAACGCUGGCGGCGUGCCUAAUACAUGCAAGUAGAACGCUGAAGGAAGGAGCUUGCUCUUUCCGGAUGAGUUGCGAACGGGUGAGUAACGCGUAGGUAACCUGCCUGGUAGCGGGGGAUAACUAUUGGAAACGAUAGCUAAUACCGCAUAACAGUUGGUGUUGCAUGAUACCUACUUAAAAGGUGCAAUUGCUGCCAUACCUAAUGGACCUGCGUUGUAUUAGCUAGGUGGUGAGGUAACGGCUCACCAAGGCGAAGGUACAUUGCCGACCUUGGAGGGUGAAUGGGCACACUGGGACUGAGACACGGGCCAGAACCCCACGGGAGGCAGCAGGAGGGGAUCUUCGGCAAUGGACGGAAGGCUUACCGGGCAAAGCCGCGUGGGUGAAGGAGGGUGUCGGGUCGGAAAGCUCUGUUGUAAGGGAAGAACGAGUGGGGUAGUGGAAUGUGCACACUGUGACGGUAUCUUACCAGAAAGGGACGGCUAACUACGUG
rnacentral:rRNA from 1 species